rnacentral:rRNA from 1 species
GGGCCCGCACAAGCGGUGGAGCAUGUGGUUUAAUUCGACGCAACGCGAAGAACCUUACCUACUCUUGACAUCCAGAGAAUUCGCUAGAGAUAGCUUAGUGCCUUCGGGAGCUCUGAGACAGGUGCUGCAUGGCUGUCGUCAGCUCGUGUUGUGAAAUGUUGGGUUAAGUCCCGUAACGAGCGCAACCCUUAUCCUUAUUUGCCAGCGAGUCAUGUCGGGGACUAUAAGGAGACUGCCGGUGACAAACCGGAGGAAGGCGGGGACGACGUCAAGUCAUCAUGGCCCUUACGAGUAGGGCUACACACGUGCUACAAUGGUGCAUACAGACGGUUGCGAACCCGCGAGGGGGAGCCAAUCCGAGAAAGUGCAUCGUAGUCCGGAUCGGAGUCUGCAACUCGACUCCGUG